rnacentral:rRNA from 1 species
UACGGAGGGCGCGAGCGUUACCCGGAUUUACUGGGCGUAAAGGGCGUGUAGGCGGUCUGGGGCGGCCCAUGUGAAAGGCCACGGCUCAACUGUGGAGGAGCGUGGGAUACGCUCAGGCUAGACGGUGGGAGAGGGUGGUGGAAUUCCCGGAGUAGCGGUGAAAUGCGCAGAUACCGGGAGGAACGCCGAUGGCGAAGGCAGCCACCUGGCUCACUGGUGAAGCUGAGGCGCGAAAGCGUGGGGAGCAAACCCC